rnacentral:rRNA from 1 species
UACAGAGGGUGCGAGCGUUGUCCGGAAUCACUGGGCGUAAAGGGCGCGUAGGCGGUUUUGUAAGUCGGAGGUGAAAUGCUGCGGCUCAACCGCAGCGCUGCCUUCGAGACUGCAAGACUGGAGCACGGUAGAGGCGGAUGGAAUUCCCGGUGUAGCGGUGGAAUGCGUAGAGAUCGGGAAGAACACCGAUGGCGAAGGCAGCCUUCUGGGCCAACACUGACGCUCAU